rnacentral:rRNA from 1 species
GCGACAGGCCUAACACAUGCAAGUCGAGGGGCAGCACAAGGAGCAAUCUGAGGUGGCGACCGGCGCACGGGUGAGUAACACGUAUGCAACCUGCCUGUAAGCGGGGAAUAACCCGUUGAAAGACGGACUAAUACCGCAUAAUACUAAAUUACUGCAUGGUAAUUUAUUUAAACAUUUAUGGCUUACAGAUGGGCAUGCGCAUGAUUAGCUAGUUGGAGAGGUAACGGCUCCCCAAGGCAACGAUCAUUAGGGGUUCUGAGAGGAAGGUCCCCCCACACUGGUACUGAGACACGGACCAGACUCCUACGGGAGGCAGCAGUGAGGAAUAUUGGUCAAUGGACGAGAGUCUGAACCAGCCAAGUCGCGUGCAGGAAGAAUGUCCUAUGGAUUGUAAACUGCUUUUGCAGGGGAAUAAAGUGCAUCACGUGUGAUGUUUUGUAUGUACUCUGCGAAUAAGGAUCGGCUAACUCCGUGCCAGCCGCGGC